GAUGAACGUUGGCGGCGUGCCUAACACAUGCAAGUCGAACGGAAAUAGCAAUAUUUGAGUGGCGCACGGGUGAGUAACACGUAGCUAAUCUACCUCAAAGCGCGGGAUAACGUGUCGAAAGACAGGCUAAUACCGCAUAAGCUCGCGAUCUGUAGAGGAUUGCGAGAAAAGGCGUAAGUCACUUUGAGAUGAGGCUGCGGCCCAUCAGCAGUUGGCGUGGUAAAAGCACACCAAGGCGACGACGGGUAGGGACCUGAGAGGGUCGACCCCG
rnacentral:rRNA from 1 species